GAUGAAGAACGUAGCGAAAUGCGAAAAGUAAUGUGAAUUGCAGAAUUCAGUGAACCAUCGAAUCUUUGAACGCACAUUGCGCCCGCUGGAACUCCGGCGGGCACGCCUGUCCGAGCGUCAUUUCAACCCUCAGGCCCCCCUUCGCGGGCGGGCCUGGUGUUGGGGCCCGGCCGCUACCCUGCGGCCGUCCCCUAAAUCCAGUGGCGGCCUCGCCGUGAUCCCUUGCGUAGUAAUGCACCUCGCACCGGAGAGUGCCGUGGCCACGCCGUAAAACCCCCAAUUUUCAAUGGUUGACCUCGGAUCAGGUGGGAAUACCCGCUGAACUUAAGCAUAUCAAUAAGCGGAGGA
rnacentral:misc_RNA from 1 species